UAAGCAGGGAUUGUGUGUAUCGGCGAUGUGCAAGAUCAUGCACUUUUAGCCGGAAGAGUUCCCUGCGAAAUCUAAUUUCGGUAGAGGAUGGGCAGUUGUGUACCAUUCUUUUCUGUUGGUAUUUCAACAAUCAUCAUCUCCACAUCA